rnacentral:rRNA from 1 species
UACGAAGGGGGCUAGCGUUGCUCGGAAUGACUGGGCGUAAAGGGCGCGUAGGCGGAGUGCUUUGUCGGGCGUGAAAUUCCAGGGCUCAACCUUGGAGCUGCGUUCGAGACGGGUGCUCUUGAGUUUGGAAGAGGGUCGUGGAAUUCCCAGUGUAGAGGUGAAGUUCGUAGAUAUUGGGAAGAACACCGGUGGCGAAGGCGGCGACCUGGUCCAAGACUGACGCUGAGGCGCGAAAGCGUGGGGAGCAAACAGG